GAUGAACGCUGGCGGCGUGCUUAACACAUGCAAGUCGAACGGAAAGGCCCAAGCUUGCUUGGGUACUCGAGUGGCGAACGGGUGAGUAACACGUGGGUGAUCUGCCCUGCACUUCGGGAUAAGCCUGGGAAACUGGGUCUAAUACCGGAUAGGACGAUGGUUUGGAUGCCAUUGUGGAAAGUUUUUUCGGUGUGGGAUGAGCUCGCGGCCGAUCAGCUUGUUGGUGGGGUAAUGGCCUACCAAGGCGUCGACGGGUAGCCGGCCUGAGAGGGUGUACGGCCACAUUGGGACUGAGAGGCGGGCCAGACUCCGACGGGAGGCAGCAGUGGGGAAUAUUGCACAAUGGGCGCAAGCGUGAGGCAGCGACGCCGCGUGGGGGAUGACGGCCUUCGGGUUGUAAACUCCUUUCGCUAGGGACGAAGCGUUUUUGUGACGGUACCUGGAGAAGAAGCACCGGCUAACUACGUG
rnacentral:rRNA from 1 species